GCAGGUGUAGCUCAGUGGUAGCACCCAUGCUUAGCACGCAUGAGGUCCUGGGUUCAAUCCCCACUACCUCCA
rfam:Camelus ferus unplaced genomic scaffold scaffold2519, whole genome shotgun sequence.